GAUGAACGCUAGCUACAGGCUUAACACAUGCAAGUCGAGGGGUAACGAGAGGAAGGCUUGCUUUCCUUGUCGACGACCGGCGCACGGGUGAGUAACGCGUAUCCAACCUGCCCCCAACUAGGGAAUAACCUUGCGAAAGUAAGACUAAUACCCUAUAAUUUCCUCAGAUGUCAUCUGACGAGGAAUAAAGAUUUAUCGGUUGUGGAUGGGGAUGCGUCUGAUUAGCUUGUUGGCGGGGUAACGGCCCACCAAGGCAACGAUAGGUAGGGGUUCCGAGAGGAAGGUCCCCCACAUUGGAACUGGGACACGGGCCAAACUCCUACGGGAGGCAGCAGUGAGGAAUAGUGGUCAAUGGGCGGAAGCCUGAACCAGCCAAGUAGCGUGCAGGGUGACGGCCCUAUGGGUUGUAAACUGCUUUUAUACAGGAAUAAAGUUAGCCACGUGUGGUUAUUUGUAGGUACUGUAUGAAUAAGGACCGGCUAAUUCCGUGCCAGCCGCCGCGGUAA
rnacentral:rRNA from 1 species